rnacentral:rRNA from 1 species
UUGUAUACCACUUUUGCCCGGGACGAAAGGGGGGACCUGAAUAAGGUUGCCCGAUGACGGUACCGGGAGAAUAAGCCACGGCUAACUCUGUGCCAGCAGCCGCGGUAAGACAGAGGUGGCAAGCGUUGUUCGGAGUUACUGGGCGUAAAGAGUCUGUAGGUGGUCUGUCAAGUCUUUGGUGAAAGGCCGUGGCUUAACCAUGGGAAUGCCAAAGAGACUGGCAGACUGGAGGCUGGGAGAGGGAAGCGGAAUUUCUGGUGUAGCGGUGAAAUGCGUAGAUAUCAGAAGGAAGGCCGGUGGCGAAGGCGGCUUCCUGGAACAGACCUGACACUGAGAGACGAAAGCGUGGGGAGCAAACAGGAUUAGAUACCCUGGUAGUCCACGCCCUAAACGAUGGGUACUAAGUGUGGGAGGGUUAAACCUCCCGUGCCGCAGCCAACGCAGUAAGUACCCCGCCUGGGGAGUACGGCCGCAAGGUUGAAACUCAAAG